UACGAAGGGGGCUAGCGUUGCUCGGAAUUACUGGGCGUAAAGCGCACGUAGGCGGAUUGUUAAGUCGGGGGUGAAAUCCUGGAGCUCAACUCCAGAACUGCCUUCGAUACUGGCGAUCUCGAGUUCGGGUGAGGUGAGUGGAACUGCGAGUGUAGAGGUGAAAUUCGUAGAUAUUCGCAAGAACACCAGUGGCGAAGGCGGCUCACUGGCCCGAUACUGACGCUGAUGUGCGAAAGCCAGGGGAGCGAACGGG
rnacentral:rRNA from 1 species